GUCCUUUUAGUGGCCCCCGUCAAUGUGAGCUGUUCUUGAGUUGCAGUACUCCAUGUCUUGGCCAUUGGGCCGAGUUCUUUCCAUGAGAGAUCUGGAGACUUGGUGAAAGAGGUAUGAGGAACAGCCACCGCCCAAUGGUGAUAUAAAUGUGAUACCUCCAUAGGCAGGUAGACUAAGAUAACAAUGUUUCCUUUGGAGUCACAGAGUGAUGUGUAUUUCCACCAGGCUGAAUAAUUCUUCUUCAUAGUAUGGGUCAGGCCCUGGGGUGUU